AUGGUUCAAGAUGUUGACAAUGCGAAGGAAGCGUCCAAAGUCAAGGUCAGGAUAAUCAGACUUUGGGAUGGCAUAAAUCCCAACAGACCCGUGGCGCCACUGCUACUAGUUUCCUCUGUGCUGGUGGGUACGUCGACGGCGGCGAACUGCGGCAGGAAGUGCGGCGACGUGCGCAUCCCACGCAGCACCUCUAGCUACCACGUAGUACGUACAAGCAGCAAGAAACGAAACGUAAUGCGCGUCGGAAUACUAGCCAUGCCACAACAACUAAUAAUAGUGCUGCUGCUGCUGUUCCAUGCUGCUACGGCGGCGGCGGCGGGUGGGCAGCGGGCGGGGUGCUCGAGCAAGUGCGGCGACGUCGACAUCCCCUUCCCCUUCGGCAUCGGCGUCGACUGCGCCUGGCCGGGCUUCGAAGUCGACUGCAACCAUAGCUUUACCCCACCCAGGCCGUACACGGGGGACGUAGAGAUCAUGGACAUCUCGCUGGAGAAGGGGGAGAUGCGCGUCUACAGUCUCGUGCUGCAAGACUACUGCAACAACUCGCCUAACACCACGGAAUCCAGCGGUAUUUACGCGAGUUUCAACGCCACCGGCACGCCGUUCCUGUUGGCGGAGGAGAGGAACGAGUUCACGGCCAUCGGCUGCGGUGCGAUUGGGUUGGGUUGCUAUGGGGCAAGGACGACGGGAGCUACUUGACCGGCUGCAUCACGUCGUGCGCGAGCUUGGAGACAGCCGCCAACGACGGUGACGGCUGCACGGGGCUGGGUUGCUGCCAUGUGCCUUCCAUCCCGCCCAACCUUAACGUCCUAAAUUUGGAGUGGGCCGACCCGAGCUUGGUGCCCAACGUCGCGUGGGACCAAGGCGCCCCCUGUAGCUACGCCUUCGUGGCGGAGAAAGGCUGGUACAAUUUUAGACGGGAAGAUUUCGGUCAUGCUGGCAGUAAGAGAUUUGUGAACCGGGAUGGCCACAAGAGAGUCCCCAUGGUGCUUGACUGGGCCAUCAGGGAAAACGGGUCAUGCUCGGGGUCGGUAGCUCCUGCCUGCGUCAGCGACCACAGCCACUGCAACAAUAGGAAUAACGGAGAGGGGUAUAUCUGCAAGUGCUCCGAGGGAUACGACGGCAAUCCCUAUCUCAAAGGCAAUGGCGGAUGCAUAGAUAUUGACGAGUGCCAUCUCAGGACAAAGUCUUCUAUAUACGGCCAACUCUAUCCAUGUUACAAUGGUAGCAGAUGCCAGAACACAGAUGGCGGUUACAAGUGCAUAUGCCGAUUUCCCCAUAGAGGAGACGGUACUGGCAAGGGAUGCAAGCCCAUAAUUCCCUUACGUAUAGUCGCCACACUAGCAACGGUAUGCGCCAUGGUUGCUCUUUUGGGCCUUGCGUGGUUCAUUCGUUGUGAGCACAAGGCAUGGGAGCAGAGGGGGUUCUUCGAAAGUAACGGUGGCCAACUACUGAAGGAUAUGGGCGUUACCACCUUCACGCAGGAGCAGCUUGACACGAUAACAAACAAGAAGAGAACCAAGAUCGGGAAGGGCACCUUCGGUGAGGUCUAUAAGGGACUCCACGAUGACCAGGAGGUCGCCGUCAAAUACUCCACCGCGAAGAGCAGUAUUAGACGAGGCAAAUACGAGUUCGUGAAAGAGAUGGCCUUUAGAAAAUCCAUUAGUUCCAAUGGCGAUGGUACGCUCGGCCAAAAAGCGUCCGUGAAUGAGAUCAUUGUCCAGUCACAGAUGCGGCACGACAACGUGGUCCGUCUCAUCGGGUGCUGCAUGGAGACGGAGGUCCCCAUGCUGGUCUUCGAGUUCAUCCCCAAUGGGAGCCUCGAGACCGUGCUUCAUGGACCUGACCUGUGGGCUCUCUCGCUGCCAGAACGCCUCGACAUUGCCAUCGGCUCCGCGGCUGCUCUUGCCUACAUGCAUUCUCUUGGUCUCCAAAGCAUUAUUCAUGGAGAUGUCAAGCCAGCCAACAUCCUUCUUGGUAAGGAUCUCGUGCCUAAGGUCUCUGACUUUGGGUCCUCCAAGUUAGGCCUUGCAACCAAGGAAGUAUGUGCCGACAAGAACUACAUCGAUCCUGUGUGCAUGAAAACUAACAUUGUCACACAGAAAAGCGAUGUUUACAGCUUUGGGAUCGUACUCAUAGAACUCAUUACUCGGAAAAAGGCCAAGUAUGACGGGAGAAACGUUCAGUCAGAUUUUGUCAACUGUCACACGGACAACAAUGCAAGGAGGGAGAUGUAUGACCAGGACAUGCUGCAUACUGAUGCCCACAGCCUUCAGCCUGAUCAGUGCAUUGAAUGCCUCGACACGAUGGCGGCCAUCGCAGUCCGGUGUCUCAAAGAUGACGUGGAUGAGAGGCCCACCAUGGCAGAGGUGCUGGAGGAGCUUAAGCAAUUGAGAGCAAGCAACGAACUGAUGGUGUAGAAGAUGAACCAAGCCUGGUCUCUUCAGACUCGGUUGGUAGUCCAUCGAUAUAUGGAUUCGUCCUUCUCGCUAUUGUUUUCUCCGUCGAUCUUGCAGAUGUGACGUUUGUUGCUUCCGCCGGGUUGUCCUGUUAUGCUUGUAGAGCUGCAGCAUUGUGCUAUUGUCGUUUAGUUUCCUCUUGUAACAAGUAUCGAUAACGAUCUUUUAGUUCUGGUAUAUCAUGAAUAAAUCACAACGUAACUGAGAAA